GCGUAAAGGUAGUAUACAUCCAUUUAUCCUGCUCAUUUAAAUGUAGCCAAAAAUAUAUAUUUAAUUGAAGUUGAAAUUUAUUAUUAUUAUUUUUAUUAUUAUUAUUAUUAUUAGCAGCACAACUUAUGAGCAAGUGAGGUGUCCAAAAGUUACUGGAAGUCACUGCAGAUUUCUACUUGCAAAGGAUCAACCGAUGUGGCUGAAGGGUGUGAGACUGUCAGAUUUUAUCUUCACAGACACACAAACAGUUCACACCCUGGUACAGUGUGUGUGUGUGUGUGUGUGUGUGUGUGUGUGUGUGUGUGUGUGUGUGUGUGUGUGUGUGUGUGUGUGUGUGUGUGUGUUAAGAGUUUUCACAGUAAGGAAAGUCAGUGCCGAAAAAGCCAAACUUCCUUCCUGUCUGAGCGAUAUCACAGGCCAAUGAUAACACACAGAAGCGCCCACACACACACACACACACACACACAUAUGUAUGUACGCACCCACGCACGCACGCGCAUGCACACACAAACUCUCUGGUUUCAUUUGUUUUCCUCACUCCUUCAGAAAAGAAAAAGACAUAAGCAAU